ensembl:snRNA U6 U6 spliceosomal RNA
GUGCUCCCUUCCACAACACAUAUAUUAAAAUUGGAACAAUACAGAGAUUAGCAUGGCCCUUGCUCAAAGAUGAUGCACAAAUUGGAGAAGUGUUCCCUAUUUUA